AGGGUUAUAGUUUAUUUAAUUAAAACAUUUAAAUUGCAAUUAAAAGAGUGUAUGUGCCAUACUAACCUUA
rnacentral:tRNA from 1 species